rnacentral:misc_RNA from 1 species
GAUGAAGAACGCAGCGAAAUGCGAUAAGUAAUGUGAAUUGCAGAAUUCAGUGAAUCAUCGAAUCUUUGAACGCACAUUGCGCCCGCCAGUAUUCUGGCGGGCAUGCCUGUUCGAGCGUCAUUACAACCCUCAGGCCCCCGGGCCUGGCGUUGGGGAUCGGCGGAGCCCCCCGUGGGCACACGCCGUCCCCCAAAUGCAGUGGCGGUCCCGCCGCAGCUUCCAUCGCGUAGUAGCUAACACCUCGCGACUGGAGAGCGGAGCGGCCACGCCGUAAAACACCCAACUCUUCUGAAGUUGACCUCGAAUCAGGUAGGAAUACCCGCUGAACUUAAGCAUAUCAAUAAGCGGAGGA